AAAAAAAUGCUAAUGCUAAAAAAAUAACACUUGUAAGAUUAUUUUUUACUUUUCCAUAAAUUUUAUUUACUUGUUAAUUAAGAUUUUAUUUUUAGGAGCGUCAACUACAUUAAGUAUCAGUUGAUAUAUGUUUUGGUCAAAUACAUGUUUGUAUUUGAAAUAGAAGUUGUUAAAUGUUGGUGGCUCAUCAUGCAGUGCAUUUGAGAAGGGCAUGCUUUUAAAGGUUAAGACUGCUCCCCUGAUUCCUACAGCAAAAAAAAAAAACUUUAAAAUGCUGGUGGUAAUAUUUAAGAGUGCACCUGAUCGAAAAGAAGGUGAAUGGCGUCAACUGUUCGAACAUUUGAUUCUUGGAAAUUAACAAGUGGAAGAAGAAGUUUAUAAAAUUGUAAUUUAAAAAAAACUCGGCACAAUUAUAUUAAUAAAAAAUUU